rnacentral:rRNA from 1 species
ACUCCUACGGGAGGCAGCAGUGGGGAAUUUUGGACAAUGGGCGAAAGCCUGAUCCAGCAAUGCCGCGUGAGUGAAGAAGGCCUUCGGGUUGUAAAGCUCUUUUGUCAGGGAAGAAACGGUGAGAGCUAAUAUCUUUUGCUAAUGACGGUACCUGAAGAAUAAGCACCGGCUAACUACGUGCCAGCAGCCGCGGUAAUACGUAGGGUGCAAGCGUUAAUCGGAAUUACUGGGCGUAAAGCGUGCGCAGGCGGUUUUGUAAGUCUGAUGUGAAAUCCCCGGGCUCAACCUGGGAAUUGCAUUGGGGACUGCAAGGCUAGAAUCUGGCAGAGGGGGGUAGAAUUCCACGUGUAGCAGUGAAAUGCGUAGAUAUGUGGAGGAACACCGAUGGCGAAGGCAGCCCCCUGGGUCAAGAUUGACGCUCAUGCACGAAAGCGUGGGGAGCAAACAGGAUUAGAAACCCGAGUAGUCCCAUGA